GACGUCGCUGCCGGAGUCUCUUCUCACCCAGACGACGCCGGUUUUUCUCAACUCGUUACGGAAGACAGGCUGGUGCUGAAUCAAGUGUAUUUCACCGUUUCAUUGACUGCUAUUAACUUCAAGUCUGGCGUUGUAAUCAAUAGUUUAAAGAAUAAUCAGCAAUAUCGGCAUUUACU